rnacentral:rRNA from 1 species
AGCUCCAAUAGCGUAUAUUAAUUUUGUUGUGGUUAAAAAGCUCGUAGUUGGAUCUCGGCAGAUUGAGAGCGGUUUGCUUGCUAGUAUUACUGCUCUAUAAUCUGUAGUUUUGCCAGAGGUUUCAGGGUGCUUUUAAUCGAGUGUCCUGGGAUGCUGGCAGGUUUACUUUGAAAAAAUUAGAGUGCUCAAAGCAGGCUGUUACGCCUGAAUAUUCGUGCAUGGAAUAAUAGAAUAGGAAGUCGUUUCUAUUUUGUUGGUUUUCGGAAAUCGACUUAAUGAUUAAUAGGGACGGUCGGGGGCAUUUGUAUUCAAACGACAGAGGUGAAAUUCUUGGACCGUUUGAAGACAAACUACUGCGAAAGCAUUUGCCAAGAAUGUUUUCAU